GAUGAACGCUGGCGGCGUGCCUAAUACAUGCAAGUCGAGCGAACAGACGAGGAGCUUGCUCCUCUGACGUUAGCGGCGGACGGGUGAGUAACACGUGGAUAACCUACCUAUAAGACUGGGAUAACUUCGGGAAACCGGAGCUAAUACCGGAUAAUAUAUUGAACCGCAUGGUUCAAUAGUGAAAGACGGUUUUGCUGUCACUUAUAGAUGGAUCCGCGCCGCAUUAGCUAGUUGGUAAGGUAACGGCUUACCAAGGCGACGAUGCGUAGCCGACCUGAGAGGGGGAUAGGCCACACUGGAACUGAGACACGGUCCAGACUCCUACGGGAGGCAGCAGUAGGGAAUCUUCCGCAAUGGGCGAAAGCCUGACGGAGCAACGCCGCUUGAGUGAUGAAGGUCUUCGGAUCGUAAAACUCUGUUAUUAGGGAAGAACAAAUGUGUAAGUAACUAUGCACGUCUUGACGGUACCUAAUCAGAAAGCCACGGCUAACUACGUG
rnacentral:rRNA from 1 species